rnacentral:rRNA from 1 species
AUUGAACGCUGGCGGCAUGCCUUACACAUGCAAGUCGAACGGCAGCACGGGGCAACCUGGUGGCGAGUGGCGAACGGGUGAGUAAUGCAUCGGAACGUACCUUUCAGUGGGGGAUAACGUAGCGAAAGUUACGCUAAUACCGCAUAUUCUGUGAGCAGGAAAGCAGGGGAUCGCAAGACCUUGCGCUGAUUGAGCGGCCGAUGUCAGAUUAGCUAGUUGGUGAGGUAAAGGCUCACCAAGGCGACGAUCUGUAGCGGGUCUGAGAGGAUGAUCCGCCAAACUGGAACUGGGACAGGGGCCAGACUCCUACGGGAGGCAGCAGUGGGGAAUUUUGGACAAUGGGGGCAACCCUGAUCCAGCCAUGCCGCGUGAGUGAAGAAGGCCUUCGGGUUGUAAAGCUCUUUCGGCCGGGAAGAAAUCGCACGGGCUAAUACCCUGUGUGGAUGACGGUACCGGAAUAAGAAGCACCGGCUAACUACGUGCCAGCCGCCGCCGUAACAC